GGAUGUGAUCAUACCAGCACUAAAGCACCGGAUCCCAUCAGAACUCCGAAGUUAAGCGUGCUUCGGCGAGAGUAGUACUAGGAUGGGUGACCUCCUGGGAAGUCCUCGUGUUGCAUUCC
rnacentral:rRNA from 1 species